rnacentral:rRNA from 1 species
GACGAACGCUGGCGGCGUGCUUAACACAUGCAAGUCGAACGGAAAGGCCCUGCUUUUGUGGGGUGCUCGAGUGGCGAACGGGUGAGUAACACGUGAGUAACCUGCCCUUGACUUUGGGAUAACUUCAGGAAACUGGGGCUAAUACCGGAUAGGAGCUCCUGCUGCAUGGUGGGGGUUGGAAAGUUUCGGCGGUUGGGGAUGGACUCGCGGCUUAUCAGCUUGUUGGUGGGGUAGUGGCUUACCAAGGCUUUGACGGGUAGCCGGCCUGAGAGGGUGACCGGCCACAUUGGGACUGAGAUACGGCCCAGACUCGUACGGGAGGCAGCAGUGGGGAAUAUUGCACAAUGGGCGGGAGCCUGAUGCAGCAACGCCGCGUGCGGGAUGACGGCAUUCGGGUUGUAAAGCGCUUUCGCCUGUGACGAAGCGUGAGUGACGGUAAUGGGUAAAGAAGCACCGGCUAACUACGUG